GUCGUCGGUCACCGCCAGCAUUAUAUCGAACAUUUUCUUCAGCUUGCCGGGAGUAAAAAUCGGCGUCAAUUUUGCCCUGAGAGAUUUCCAUCCUGGAUUUUUCAUCAAGAACACAUUUGCGUAUCCAAGACGAUCAUUUUUCUCAUCUCCACUCGCGUAUCUAUCAGCGAAAUAGCUGAAGUCCUUCACCAGGACGUGCUUCACGAGUUGUGGAUCGCGAAUUAACAGGUAAGGUUUAUCGAAGAUAUAGAAUCCCAAGAAAGGUAAACCUUCGCCGUGUUCAUAUAGGUCUCUGACAAAUUCUGAGGCUGAUGUCCUUGACAGAAGACAAUCCAUGAAGUUACCUACGAAGGGCGUAGGAGGAAGCUCUUUCACGCCUCGUUUCGACCAGUAGUUGAAUUUCCGAGUCACGAACAAAUAAGCGGCAACCAUCAGUGACGACACAAUCAGGAUACCAUCCAGACCCCAGUAUGGCGUUAUCAAUGCCAUUUUGAAUCAGUCUGAUAAGGAAAAAUGCUUUC
rnacentral:misc_RNA from 1 species